ensembl:lncRNA PCDHB1-AS1 PCDHB1 antisense RNA 1
AGGUGGCCGUUGUCCGCGUUGAUGGAGACCAGGGAGGCGAGGGGCAGGUGCGGGUCCUGGGGCGGCAGCAGCGAGUAGGUGACCUGGGCGUUGGUGCCCGAGUCUCUGUCUGUGGCGCUGACGCUGCCGAUGUGCAGGGCGGGGCUGUUGUUCUCGCGGACGAACAGGGUGUAGGAGGUUUGGGUGAAGGCGGGGGCGUUGUCAUUGACGUCGGAGACCAGCACGGUUAUGUUGUGCUCGGUUUUCAGCCUGGGUGUCCCGAAGUCGGUGACGGUGAUGGUGAUGUUGUAUUCGGAUCUGGUCUCCCGGUCCAGGGCCGUGCUUAUCACCAGAGUGUAAAAGUUCUCAACAGAAGGUUUCAAGAAAAAAGGAAGAUCAUCUUGGAUGGAGCACACCAUCCUUCCGUUGUCUCCGGAGUCAGGAUCUGAAACGCUGAAUACAGCAAUGAGGGUGUCCUGCAAGUUUUCUGGGAUCUGAUUGAUAAGUGUCGACAUAGUUAGUUCCGGAGGAUUGUCAUUCAAAUCCAUCACUUGGACAAAUACCACACAAGUUCCAGAUAGGCCCCCACCAUCUGUCGCCUGAAUAUUUACUGUGUAUGUCUGGAUGGAUUCGAAAUCCAGUUUCUGUCUUAAAAGCAGUUCUCCCGAUUUUGCACUUAAUCGAAACGUUUUGCGAAUGUCUUCAGAUGCUUGGGAAAAUGCAUAAGAUAUUUCUCCAUUAGUUCCAAUGUCUAAAUCCCUGGCAGAGACGAUGGCAACCUGGGAUCCAACGGGGCUGUCCUCCGGGAUCUGCACCUCAUAGAGCAGCUUUGCAAACUCUGGGACGUUGUCAUUGAUGUCCACAACUUCAAUCCGUACCAGGGCCGUGCCGGACCUGGGUGGACUCCCGCCAUCUAGCGCUGUGAGGGUUAACCUGAUCUCAGGCUGCUCCUCGCGAUCCAGGGCUCUGUUCAGCACCAGCUGUGGUAAUAUUAUGCCAUCGAGACUGUCUUGUAAAUUAAGAUGAAAGUGGAAAUUGGGACUGAUUGUGUAAUUUUGGAGACUGUUGGUUCCUACAUCCAAGUCCUGGGCACGUUCUAUUAAGAAAGUAGUUCCAGGAGUGAUACUUUCUGGAAUUUUCAAAAGUAUUUCUUUGUCUAGGAAAACUGGGGAAUGAUCAUUUACGUCCCUAAUCCGUAGCUCCGCCUGAAAAAACUGCAAGGGAUUUUCUAGUAACACCUGGAAAGGUAGGACACAGGGCUCUGUGGGGCCGCACAGCUCCUCCCGGUCCAAUUUCUCAUUUAACAACAAAUCCCCGGUCUGCCUAUCGAACUGCAAAUGCAUUUUUUUUCCUUUGGAAACGACCCUGGCCCCCCUCACAGCAAGUUCUCCUAUCUCCAGCCCCAGGUCUUUUAACAAAUUGGCCACAAAGGAGCCACUCUCCGUUUCCUCGGCCACUGAAUAGUGCCUAGGCUGGCAACUAGCCUGAGCUAUGCCCAGCAAAACAAAGAAUAUCAGGACUUGCCUUUGUUUCGGAACGCGCUCCUUCCCCUCUCCGGCCUCCAUUGCUUUCUGGUCUCUCACCAAACGUGCUCCAGCUCUGGCUCACGUUGUCGCUAACUCUAUCUCCCCGUAUCUCGCUGAUACUGGGAUGAGUGGACAAUCCUAGGGCCCGGAUUUCCCGGAGCGACCGCCUUAGAAAGCCUCCUCUUCCUGCUUGCUGCUUCUUUAGCUGAGUAUCUGGGUAAGGGAGCGUCGGCUGGGUGCUUUGUUUCUGCUACUUCUAAGGCUGCAGCGCCACCCCGCGUCUCUUCCGAGUAUUUAUUUUCUCCUAAACUUUAAGAAAAUCCCAGUGCUUUCUUUCAGGCUGAUGGCAAUCGAAAUUGAGUAUUUUCAAGUAGUGUCUCUCAGUGUACCGAAGUCUUAUUGGCGUUUCGAAAGGCUCUUCAUUGCACCCAUAGAGACAGGGCAAGAAUAAAUAAAUCUUCACUUCCCUCACAAA